rnacentral:rRNA from 1 species
GAACGGGUGAGUAACACGUGGAUAACCUGCCUCAAGGCUGGGGAUAACAUUUGGAAACAGAUGCUAAUACCGAAUAAAACUUAGUAUCGCAUGAUAUCAAGUUAAAAGGCGCUACGGCGUCACCUAGAGAUGGAUCCGCGGUGCAUUAGUUAGUUGGUGGGGUAAAGGCUUACCAAGACGAUGAUGCAUAGCCGAGUUGAGAGACUGAUCGGCCACAUUGGGACUGAGACACGGCCCAAACUCCUACGGGAGGCUGCAGUAGGGAAUCUUCCACAAUGGGCGCAAGCCUGAUGGAGCAACGCCGCGUGUGUGAUGAAGGCUUUCGGGUCGUAAAGCACUGUUGUAUGGGAAGAAAUGCUAAAAUAGGGAAUGAUUUUAGUUUGACGGUACCAUACCAGAAAGGGACGGCUAAAUACGUGCCAGCAGCCGCGGUAAUACGUAUGUCCCGAGCGUUAUCCGGAUUUAUUGGGCGUAAAGCGAGCGCAGACGGUUGAUUAAGUCUGAUGUGAAAGCCCGGAGCUCAACUCCGGAAUGGCAUUGGAAACUGGUUAACUUGAGUGUUGUAGAGGUAAGUGGAACUCCAUGUGUAGCGGUGGAAUGCGUAGAUAUAUGGAAGAACACCAGUGGCGAAGGCGGCUUACUGGACAACAACUGACGUUGAGGCUCGAAAGUGUGGGUAGCAAACAGGAUUAGAUACCCUGGUAGUCCACACCGUAAACGAUGAAUACUAGGUGUUAGGAGGUUUCCGCCUCUUAGUGCCGAAG